GACGAACGCUGGCGGCGUGCUUAAUACAUGCAAGUCGAGCGAGGCCUUGGAAUUGGAGUCCUUCGGGAUGAAGAGUCCUUGGCCUAGCGGCGGACGGGUGAGUAACGCGUGGGCAACCUACCCCAAAGUCCGGGAUAACAGUGGGAAACCGCUGCUAAUACCGGAUGACUUUACCUGAGGGCAUCCUUGGGUAAAGAAAGGUUACGCUUUGGGAUGGGCCCGCGUCCCAUUAGCUAGUUGGUGAGGUAACGGCUCACCAAGGCGACGAUGGGUAGCCGGCCUGAGAGGGUGAACGGCCACACUGGGACUGAGACACGGCCCAGACUCCUACGGGAGGCAGCAGUAGGGAAUAUUGCGCAAUGGGCGGAAGCCUGACGCAGCGACGCCGCGUGAGCGAAGAAGGCCUUCGGGUCGUAAAGCUCUGUCCUUGGGGAAGAAGGCGAAAGCUUGACGGUACCUGAGGAAUAAGCCCCGGCUAACUAACGUG
rnacentral:rRNA from 1 species